rnacentral:lncRNA from 1 species
CCGUUGGAUUUCCAACGGUAAAAAAAAUUUAAAUUUUACUUUUAAAAUAUACCGUCCGAUCACAGAUCAACGGUCCACGUUAAUUAACUAAUUAAAAUUUAUUAAAACAUACAGAAAAAAUAUUAAAAAAUACAUAAAAUUUAAAAAAAAAAUUAUUUAUUUUUUCUAUAAAUACCUAACUCUCAUCUUCCACCUUACACCACAUUUCAAUAUUUUCUACACUUU